rnacentral:rRNA from 1 species
UACGUAGGGUGCAAGCGUUGUCCGGAAUUAUUGGGCGUAAAGAGCUCGUAGGCGGUCUGUUGCGUCGGCUGUGAAAACCUGGGGCUCAACCCCGGGCCUGCAGCCGAUACGGGCAAGCUAGAAUUCGGUAGGGGAGACUGGAAUUCCUGGUGUAGCGGUGAAAUGCGCAGAUAUCAGGAGGAACACCGGUGGCGAAGGCGGAUCUCUGGGCCAUUACUGACGCUGAGGAGCGAAAGCGUGGGGAGCGAACAGG